AUGUCACAACUGACUUAUGACACCCCUACUAUUUACUCUGCCUCCACUUUAAGUAAUGUCUCACUUACCGCUCAUCAGCCUGGCCCGUCUGACCCCAACCGCACCAUUUCUGAUGACAUCCUGAGUCCUAAGACCUUUAGCAAACACAUCCAAGGUUGUCUGGUCUCUUUCAAAGGCAUCGUCGGGAUUGAAGAUUAUUUUACCGACUUUGGUUUUUUAUCUGGUUUCACACAGGUGUCUAAAAAAAUGAUAGCAGUUAUUUUCAUUGUGGGUUUUUUUUUUUUUUAAUGUUUAUUUAUUUUUGAGAGACGGGGGGGAGAGAGAGAGAGAGAGAGAGAGCGAGAGUGAGUGGGGGAGGGGCAGAGAGAAAGGGAGACAGAGGAUCCGUACAUAGCAGGCUCUGCACUGACAGCAGAGGUCCUGGCGCAGGGCUCGAACCCACGAACCACAAGAUCAUGACCUGAGCCUGAGCCGAAGUCAGAUGCUUCACAUACUGAACCACCCAGGUGCCCCAGUCAUUGUGGGUUUUAGAUCACUCCUCUCAAACACACUCGAAAUUCCUUCACUUCUUACACAGUAAUUCCAUCAGGAGCCGAACCCCCCAAGUGUUAUUUGGAGCAUGCCCCAGGAAUAACCUCCCUUCCCCAGCCCACUUUGUAAGUGAUUCUUAGAAUCAAUUUCCUCCACAAAGCCUCUCCAGUUGGAUUUCUCUAAUUCCUGCCCUGGGUAAGCACGGGACUUUGGUGAUUUUUUUCCCAUCUAUCCUUUCCCAAACACGAUAUCUAUAUUCCAUCUCAAGCGACAAAUAGCAUCUGCCAACAAAUAGCGUAGACACAGUUGCUGCAUUGUAUAAGUAAUUUCUGCUUUUCCUUCUGUUAUUGGUUUCACUCCCCAAGCCAGUCUGAGUUAGCUUCAUUGGACAUGACUUUGUAUCACAAGGUCAGAAACCGUCUAAUCCUGUGUGUCACCUUCCACACUCCAGGAUCCCCACCCAGCGUCAUGUAAAGAAUGGUAAUUUAUAAAUUAUAAACAUUUAUAAUUUUAUAUAAAUUAUAUAAAAUACAAUUAUAAAUUAUAAAUUAUAAACGAAAAACCCAGCUUUUUGUUGCUGGUUGAUCACGAGGGUGACCACACUCCUAUGCUCUGCAAAUUCCUCUUUAUGGUGAGAACUAGGGAGCCUCAUCUCUCUCCCACCUCCUGUAAACCCAGUGCAGGCAUCGCUCCUUACCUGUCAGCGGCUCUGAGAUCCAGCCUUCCUUUCAGAGACUUUCAGGACAGACCCUCUUUCUUAAUACUGGUAUCAUAGUGUUUUUCUUCUCUCCUUGACCUUGAACUUUUUUCUGCCUUUGGGAAGAUACAGCAAGUCCGUCCUGAUCAAAAGCAUUCUCCAUGGACAAGCUUCUGGUUAUGUGCCUUUCAACUUUAUUUCUCCUCCACUAUCCAUAUAUUUUAAUUCUAAUUCCAGGUACUACAGAGCAAAGCCAUAUCACACUAUAACCUCUGGUCCUGGACUUCAGAAUCACAAUACUAGAUGAGUCAGCCGAUAAGCUCUAGGAGUAUUCCUGGAAGUCGUUGUACUUUGGGAUUCCCAGUAAUACCUUAACUAGAUACCUUGAAGUCACUGAAAAACACAUCAAUAUGUCUCACUCCACCAAAAAUAAAUAUAUCCGUAAUUUAAUUUCCCCUCA
rnacentral:lncRNA from 1 species